GAUGAACGCUGGCGGCGUGCCUAAUACAUGCGAGUCGAGCGAACAGACGAGGAGCUUGCUCCUCUGACGUUAGCGGCGGACGGGUGAGUAACACGUGGAUAACCUACCUAUAAGACUGGGAUAACUUCGGGAAACCGGAGCUAAUACCGGAUAAUAUAUUGAACCGCAUGGUUCAAUAGUGAAAGACGGUUUUGCUGUCACUUAUAGAUGGAUCCGCGCCGCAUUAGCUAGUUGGUAAGGUAACGGCUUACCAAGGCGACGAUGCGUAGCCGAUCUGAGAGGGUGAUCGGCCACACUGGAACUGAGACACGGUCCAGACUCCUACGGGAGGCAGCAGUAGGGAAUCUUCCGCAAUGGGCGAAAGCCUGACGGAGCAACGCCGCGUGAGUGAUGAAGGUCUUCGGAUCGUAAAACUCUUUUAUUAGGGAAGAACAAAUGUGUAAGUAACUAUGCACGUCUUGACGGUACCUAAUCAGAAAGCCACGGCUAACUACGUG
rnacentral:rRNA from 1 species